rnacentral:lncRNA from 1 species
GGUGUGACUGAGAGGGAGAAGAAAUUGCUGGGCGUCCAUGGGCAGGGGAGGAUGAGCGGGAAGCAGCAGAGAAGAUGGUGUAGUGCCCAUUGGAUGGAAAAUUGUGGCUGUUUUGAUGGUUAGAGGUUAGCAUGCCCUUCUGAAUAACUACCCCCAGUCAGCACAUGACUGAGGGCCGCCCUGUUGAGACUGUGGGAAUCUCUAGUCAAACGUUUGCUGCGUAGCUCAGAGGCUUGAUUUCACACUGUUGAGAGCACUGCCCUGUUCUCUAGGUGUGGGGUAGCCCCUGCAGUGACAACCCGAAGGAACACAAAUACACAGAACCGGGCACAGUAAUGAACUUGAAGCAUAGUCAAAGACGCCGUGAGGAUGCAGGAAGCCUCUCUGCCCCCAGUCCCAAGAAUAUGGACAUACUGUGUUCAGAAAAGUGUUCAAUUUCUACACUUCCUGCCCUGGGUAUUUGAGCAUCUAUUUCCUAGUUGAAAACCCAGUAGCCUCCUCACCAGCUUCAGCAUCCAGAUAUGAUGUGCUUGCAUUCUUCUGGUCUUCUUGUAGCCUGAACUCAUUCCACCUCCCCACAACGCCAACAUUUCACUUCUUUUAUUUGGAGGAGGACGUUUGGAAGUUGUGUUUCUGGAAAUGUUUUGUAUUUAUUUUCCCAGUAAACUUAAGAAAACUUAAAAGUAAUUAAAUGUUUUUUUCCUUUUGAAAAGACAGAAUCUUAAAACACUUGGAGUAUGUCUUCUUUCAAAUGUACAUGUCAAUGGUGCCUAAUAUUUUUUGUUUCCUUACAUUUUUGUUUUGUUUUGUUUGGUUUGGUUUGGUUUGGUUUGGUUUCCCAAGACAGGGUUUCUCUGUGUAGCCCUGGCUGUCCUGGAACUCACUUGGUAGACCAGGCUGUCCUCAACCUCAGAAAUCUGCCUGCCUCUGCCUCCCGAGUGCUGGGAUUAAAGGCAUGCGCCACCAAUGCCCAGCUGUUUCCUUACAUUUUUAAAGUUACAAAUUAGCUCUGUUAUUAUAUUAUACACUCAAUACUGCUGAGAUUUGAAAAAAAAUCAAGCAUACUUUUCUUGUAGUCAGAUAUUCACUCUUGGACUGUUUCUAUGCCAAAUAUAAACUACAUCUUCUGGUUAUAAAUAAGUUUUGAUUAAAAAAACAAUAACAAACAA